CCUACGGGAGGCAGCAGUGGGGAAUAUUGCACAAUGGGGGAAACCCUGAUGCAGCGACGCCGCGUGAGUGAAGAAGUAUUUCGGUACGUAAAGCUCUAUCAGCAGGGAAGAAAAUGACGGUACCUGACUAAGAAGCCACGGCUAACUACGUGCCAGCAGCCGCGGUAAUACGGAGGGAGCAAGCGUUAUCCGGAUUUACUGGGUGUAAAGGGAGCGUAGACGGCAGUGUAAGUCUGGAGUGAAAUCCCAUGGCUUAACCAUGGAAAUGCUUUGGAAACUGUGCAUCUAGAGUGCAGGAGAGGUAAGCGGAAUUCGUAGUGUAGCGGUGAAAUGCGUAGAUAUUAGGAGGAACCCCAGUGGCGAAGGCGGCUUACUGGACUGUAACUGACGUUGAGGCUCGAAAGCGUGGGGAGCAAACAGGAUUAGAUACCCUAGUAGUC
rnacentral:rRNA from 1 species